rnacentral:rRNA from 1 species
AUACGUAGGGGGCGAGCGUUGUCCGGAAUGAUUGGGCGUAAAGGGCGCGUAGGCGGCCCGGUAAGUCUGGAGUGAAAGUCCUGCUUUUAAGGUGGGAAUUGCUUUGGAUACUGUCGGGCUUGAGUGCAGGAGAGGUAAGUGGAAUUACCAGUGUAGCGGUGAAAUGCGUAGAGAUUGGGAGGAACACCAGUGGCGAAGGCGACUUACUGGACUGUAACUGACGCUGAGGCGCGAAAGUGUGGGGAGCAAACAGGAUUAGAUACCCUGGUAGUCCACACUGUAAACGAUGAAUGCUAGGUGUAGGGGGUAUCGACUCCCUCUGUGCCGCAGUUAACACAAUAAGUAUUCCGCCUGGGGAGUACGGCCGCAAGGUUGAAACUCAAAUGAAUUGGCGGGG